GGUGACCCACAGCUUUGGCCCUCCCGCUGCAGAGCGGUCGGUUCAAGUUCUGGUUUUGCCACAUAUCUACCUGGCUUUGGGGAGUUCAAACCUUUCUGAGGCCCAUUCUCUGACAGCUUCCAGUCCUACCAACCACAGAAUAAGAAAAGUGAUAAUAAUCACCUAAGUGGCCUGGAGUCAUCAUUAGAUAAUUCUGCUUCCUCUCAACAUCUUCCCCUAUCUUGAAGAAACUGCAAAGUUUGUGCAUUACCAAAGCUUGUGCAUUAGACAUUGCCUAAGAAAUGUCAGUCAAGAAGGUUAAAAUGAAAGAAACACGGCUUAGAAUACGUAGAGAACUUGACAGACAACUGGAGUUGAGAGGGGCCUGGGGAAGAACUGGGAGUCCAUGGAAAUCCUGCUUGUCAGUGAUGGUGAACUGGCGUGGCUUGGAUAUUUGAAUCGGCACACCGAGGUUUCCAGCAGAAGCAUUAUAGACAAUAAAUGCAGAACUAGGUU
rnacentral:lncRNA from 1 species